UUAAGCGACUAAGCGUACACGGUGGAUGCCCUGGCAGUCAGAGGCGAUGAAGGACGUGCUAAUCUGCGAAAAGCGUCGGUAAGGUGAUAUGAACCGUUACAGCCGGCGAUGUCCGAAUGGGGAAACCCAGUGCAAUUCGUUGCACUAUCGUUAACUGAAUACAUAGGUUAACGAGGCGAACCGGGGGAACUGAAACAUCUAAGUACCCCGAGGAAAAGAAAUCAACCGAGAUUCCCCCAGUAGCGGCGAGCGAACGGGGAGCAGCCCAGAGUCUGAAUCAGCUUGUGUGUUAGUGGAACGGUCUGGAAAGUCCGACGGUACAGGGUGAUAGUCCCGUACACCAAAAUGCACAGGCUGUGAACUCGAAGAGUAGGGCGGGACACGUGGUAUCCUGUCUGAAUAUGGGGGGACCAUCCUCCAAGGCUAAAUACUCCUGACUGACCGAUAGUGAACCAGUACCGUGAGGGAAAGGCGAAAAGAACCCCGGCGAGGGGAGUGAAAAAGAACCUGAAACCGUGUACGUACAAGCAGUGGGAGCACCUUCGGGUGUGACUGCGUACCUUUUGUAUAAUGGGUCAGCGACUUAUAUUCUGUAGCAAGGUUAACCGUAUAGGGGAGCCGCAGGGAAACCGAGUCUUAACUGGGCGUUAAGUUGCAGGGUAUAGACCCGAAACCCGGUGAUCUAGCCAUGGGCAGGUUGAAGGUUGGGUAACACUAACUGGAGGACCGAACCGACUAAUGUUGAAAAAUUAGCGGAUGACUUGUGGCUGGGGGUGAAAGGCCAAUCAAACCGGGAGAUAGCUGGUUCUCCCCGAAAGCUAUUUAGGUAGCGCCUCGUGAACUCAUCUUCGGGGGUAGAGCACUGUUUCGGCUAGGGGGUCAUCCCGACUUACCAACCCGAUGCAAACUACGAAUACCGAAGAAUGUUAUCACGGGAGACACACGGCGGGUGCUAACGUCCGUCGUGAAGAGGGAAACAACCCAGACCGCCAGCUAAGGUCCCAAAGUCAUGGUUAAGUGGGAAACGAUGUGGGAAGGCACAGACAGCCAGGAUGUUGGCUUAGAAGCAGCCAUCAUUUAAAGAAAGCGUAAUAGCUCACUGGUCGAGUCGGCCUGCGCGGAAGAUGUAACGGGGCUAAACCAUGCACCGAAGCUGCGGCAGCGACACUAUGUGUUGUUGGGUAGGGGAGCGUUCUGUAAGCCUGCGAAGGUGUGCUGUGAGGCAUGCUGGAGGUAUCAGAAGUGCGAAUGCUGACAUAAGUAACGAUAAAGCGGGUGAAAAGCCCGCUCGCCGGAAGACCAAGGGUUCCUGUCCAACGUUAAUCGGGGCAGGGUGAGUCGACCCCUAAGGCGAGGCCGAAAGGCGUAGUCGAUGGGAAACAGGUUAAUAUUCCUGUACUUGGUGUUACUGCGAAGGGGGGACGGAGAAGGCUAUGUUAGCCGGGCGACGGUUGUCCCGGUUUAAGCAUGUAGGCUGAUUAUCCAGGCAAAUCCGGAUAAUCAAGGCUGAGGUGUGAUGACGAGGCACUACGGUGCUGAAGUAACAAAUGCCCUGCUUCCAGGAAAAGCCUCUAAGCAUCAGGUAACAUCAAAUCGUACCCCAAACCGACACAGGUGGUCAGGUAGAGAAUACCAAGGCGCUUGAGAGAACUCGGGUGAAGGAACUAGGCAAAAUGGUGCCGUAACUUCGGGAGAAGGCACGCUGGUGUGUAGGUGAAGUCCCUGCGGAUGGAGCUGAGACCAGUCGAAGAUACCAGCUGGCUGCAACUGUUUAUUAAAAACACAGCACUGUGCAAACACGAAAGUGGACGUAUACGGUGUGACGCCUGCCCGGUGCCGGAAGGUUAAUUGAUGGGGUUAUCCGUAAGGAGAAGCUCUUGAUCGAAGCCCCGGUAAACGGCGGCCGUAACUAUAACGGUCCUAAGGUAGCGAAAUUCCUUGUCGGGUAAGUUCCGACCUGCACGAAUGGCGUAAUGAUGGCCAGGCUGUCUCCACCCGAGACUCAGUGAAAUUGAACUCGCUGUGAAGAUGCAGUGUACCCGCGGCAAGACGGAAAGACCCCGUGAACCUUUACUAUAGCUUGACACUGAACAUUGAGCCUUGAUGUGUAGGAUAGGUGGGAGGCUUUGAAGCGUGGACGCCAGUCUGCGUGGAGCCAACCUUGAAAUACCACCCUUUAAUGUUUGAUGUUCUAACGUUGGCCCCUGACCGGGGUUGCGGACAGUGUCUGGUGGGUAGUUUGACUGGGGCGGUCUCCUCCCAAAGCGUAACGGAGGAGCACGAAGGUUAGCUAAUCCUGGUCGGACAUCAGGAGGUUAGUGCAAUGGCAUAAGCUAGCUUGACUGCGAGCGUGACGGCGCGAGCAGGUGCGAAAGCAGGUCAUAGUGAUCCGGUGGUUCUGAAUGGAAGGGCCAUCGCUCAACGGAUAAAAGGUACUCCGGGGAUAACAGGCUGAUACCGCCCAAGAGUUCAUAUCGACGGCGGUGUUUGGCACCUCGAUGUCGGCUCAUCACAUCCUGGGGCUGAAGUAGGUCCCAAGGGUAUGGCUGUUCGCCAUUUAAAGUGGUACGCGAGCUGGGUUUAGAACGUCGUGAGACAGUUCGGUCCCUAUCUGCCGUGGGCGCUGGAGAAUUGAGGGGGGCUGCUCCUAGUACGAGAGGACCGGAGUGGACGCAUCACUGGUGUUCGGGUUGUCAUGCCAAUGGCACUGCCCGGUAGCUAAAUGCGGAAGAGAUAAGUGCUGAAAGCAUCUAAGCACGAAACUUGCCCCGAGAUGAGUUCUCCCUGAGACUAUAAGUCUCCUGAAGGAACGUUAAAGACGAUGACGUUGAUAGGCCGGGUGUGUAAGCGCAGCGAUGCGUUGAGCUAACCGGUACUAAUGAACCGUGAGGCUUAACCUU
rnacentral:rRNA from 1 species